rnacentral:lncRNA from 1 species
UCAGUUUGCAGACAGUAAACACGGGUCUAUUUUAUUUAGAACGAGUCUUUUAAUGCAUUUCAAGUACUCCAAAAAAUUACAUCUCUUUGCACAAUACAAUUUGAAAUGUUUUUGUUUUUUUUAGUAAAAAUGUUCAAAGUGAACAAAAGAAAAAAAAGAAAAGAAAAUGUUGGAUACUGUAUAAAACACAGUGAACAAUAAAAUCAGACAGCAGUUUAACUUUUUAAUCUCGUGUUCGUUCGGCCUACAUCACCUAAGACAUUUCAACUCAAUUUGGACAUUUUCAGUGCACGUUGAUCUAAAACCUUUACCAAGACUAUGAAAUUAAAAAGAGAAAGUAAUUUUACAGGCAUUAUUCUUCUGCUCUUCUACCCAAACCAUGCCACAGAAUAAGACAAAGAAAAAGGAGAAUGUAACACUAACUCCAUCACAGAUUCAUAGGUUUAUUUUUUCUUCCCUCUAUUGAUGACGGUGGUGAAAAGCAUAAGCAAAGUGCAGUUCAACUAGCGCAUAGAAGAACUUAAAUAACUUAGAAAAUAGGAAAAGAAAAAACAAACAUAACUUCUGAACCAGUUUUCUCUGGAAUUAGGAAGAGAAAUGUUAUCAAAAUGUAUUUUUUCUUUAUCAAAUAAAAUGCAAUUUCCCUCCCCCAACAAGUACUGUACAAGUUUACAAGUUAAUUCUGUCAAAUGUGGCCCGAGACGUGAAUUAAAAAAAAAAAAAAGAUGCAAUUUGUACAUAAAUAAGAGGUUCUAACAGCCCGCCUUCCCAGUUCCCUCUGUGGUUUCUUCCAGAGCACAUGUGAUGAUGAGCGACAGUGGUUUCAGAAUUAUUGAAUUUGCAUGCAUAAAAAAAAAAUGUUUUAAAUCAAUAAAGCCAGAGUACAGAAAAUGUUUCCUUACGUUAUACAUCGUUUAAGAAAAGAAAAAAACCCACACAAACACAUCACAGAAGGAACUAAAGCUACACAAUUCCUUAACUCCUUGGCACUCCUUAAAAGAAAAGAAUUAAAAGAAGAAAAAAAACAAGAUAAAGAUGGAAAACACUUGAUUCCACUGCGCUGGAAAUGGCUGAUGGUCAGGUCCGCUCUCCAAAGAGCCAAUCAAGUUGCUAGGUAUUGUUUUUGUCUCCUUUAAACGUCUGGUUUGUCUGUAGUGGA